AAGCUAUAGAGUUUCAUGAAAAAGCUCUGGAAAUUAAAAAACAAUCGUUAGGUCCAAAUCAUGUUGAUGUCGCUGCGUCUUUAAACAAUCUUGGUACGGUGUUUGAUGAAACUGGAAACUAUGACAAAGCUAUAGAGUUUUACAAUAAAGCUCUGGAAAUUCAAAAACAGUCGUUAGGUCCAACUCAUGUUGUUGUCGCUGCGUCUUUAAACAAUCUUGGUGUAGUGUUUUAUGAAACUGGAAACGAUGACAAAGCUUUGGAGUUUUACGAAAAAGCUCUGGAAAUUCAAAAACAAUCGUUAGGUCCAAAUCAUGUUGAUAUCGCUGCGCCUUUAAACAAUAUUGGUUUGGUGUUACAUGAAACUGGAAACUACGACAAAGCUAUAGAGUUUCACGAAAAAGCUCUGGAAAUUCGAAAACAAUCAUUAGGUCCAAAUCAUGUUGAUGUCGCUGCGUCUUUACACAAUCUUGGUUUGGUUUUUGAUAAAACUGGAAACUACGACAAAGCUACAGAGUUUUACGAAAAAGCUGAGGAAAUUCGCAAAAAAACGUUAGGAACUAGUCAGGUUUAUGUUGCUCAGUCUCUUAAACAAUCUAGGUGUGCUGUAUUAUGAAACUCGGAAAUAUAACAAAGCUUUAAAGUUAUACUUUAGUAGCUACGCGUUUUAAAGAAAAUUUUGCCUUCCAAAUUAUGUUAAGCCUAUUUUUAAGUCAACUCCCCUCUCCCUCAGAAGGUAUUUUUGGUACUGAACAAAACGUUUGCAGUUUGUAUUUUGUGAAGUAAAAUGAACCUAAUGAUGCAAUGGGCCUUUUCUAUACAUAGUUUCACUGAUAUCUAGUCAAUAAACGUACUCUACAGGCCAGGAAUCAUCCUAAGUAGAACUAUAACUGCCCAUGCCCUGAAUCUGACAUUCUCCUUUAGACUUUAUUUCUAAAGUAAUUUAUUUUUCUGUUAUAAUCAAGUAGUUAUUUUUAUUGUAUGAUUCACAAACAUACCAAAGUAUAUUGGGAUGACAGAAUUUUAUGACAUAAAUUUUGUUAAAUAAAUACUAUCCUGUUAGUUUUUCAUAUUCUUUGAUACAUUCAGUAAUUUUAACCCAGCUCCGUAAGCCUAUGGCCAUAUUCCAGGUUCCUAUAAUUUCUAAAGUGUACCCCUUUCAUACUAUAUUCCACCCCACCAUGCUGCAGCCAAUAUUCCUGUACUGUCUCUAUCUCCGCCAUGAAACAUAGAAGAAGAACACAAUUGAAACCAGGAAUCUUUUGCCGUCAUCAAAGCAUCGUAAGCAAUCAUUGGUGCAUCAUGAACACUGGAUCCACCCCAACCUGUAUAAUUCACAGAUUUAUAAAAAGUAUCACUUUCAGUUUAGGUCUUGCGGGGGCAUCAGCAGAGCAAAGAGGGGCAAAAACCCGUAAACGAUGACCAUGGAAUAAAAAUCCUAAGACAAAUUGAUGCAGUUUUUCUAGCAUGGAUUGAACUAAUCAGAACCACGAAAAUAAAUCUUUUUGAUUCAUUUAAUAAAGGGGCGAGUAACUUUCACUAGUUUAGUAGAAACGGCGCAACAAAAGUGAACCUGUAGGGCUAAACUUACUGUGAACAAACGAACUGUGUCUCACCUUGCAUCAAGUUAGGCUAAAAUAUAUAAAUGUUAGAAUGAACUUUACCUCAUAGAAAAAGUAGUGGGGGAGGAGGGGAAUUGGUUAAUCAAGCUCACUCUAUGGCGCUGUGCUUAUUUGGUCUAACAUAUUGGUAAACUGCCCAAAUAUAAUUGAAACCUGGUACAUGCACAUGAUGUUGUUACCUUUAGUUGCCAGCUGUUCAGUUUCUUCAACAAAAGGUUGCAGUAGAAGAUUCAUGUUUAAUUUGCACUUUGAAAACCAUAAUGCUGGCAUGACAAUAUGCUUUUUACGAUGAUCUGUUGGCAGUUCUAAAAUGGUACACUGUAUUGGCCAUAGAUCUUUAUUAGAUGACCUAUAAAAUAAGCAAUAAAAUUUUUAAACAAAAA